rnacentral:rRNA from 1 species
AGUCGAACGGAAAGGCCUCUUUCGGGGGGUACUCGAGUGGCGAACGGGUGAGUAACACGUGAGUAACCUGCCCUUGACUUUGGGAUAACUUCAGGAAACUGGGGCUAAUACCGGAUAGGAGCUCCUGCUGCAUGGUGGGGGUUGGAAAGUUUCGGCGGUUGGGGAUGGACUCGCGGCUUAUCAGCUUGUUGGUGGGGUAGUGGCUUACCAAGGCUUUGACGGGUAGCCGGCCUGAGAGGGUGACCGGCCACAUUGGGACUGAGAUACGGCCCAGACUCCUACGGGAGGCAGCAGUGGGGAAUAUUGCACAAUGGGUGGAAGCCUGAUGCAGCAACGCCGUGUGCGGGAUGACGGCCUUCGGGUUGUAAACCGCUUUCGCUCAUGACGAAGCUUUGUGUGACGGUAGUGGGUAAAGAAGCACCGGCUAACUACGUGCCAGCAGCCGCGGUGAUACGUAGGGUGCGAGCGUUGUCCGGAUUUAUUGGGCGUAAAGGGCUCGUAGGUGGUUGAUCGCGUCGGAAGUGUAAUCUUGGGGCUUAACCCUGAGCGUGCUUUUGAUACGGGUUGACUUGAGGAAGGUAGGGGAGAAUGGAAUUCCUGGUGGAGCGGUGGAAUGCGCAGAUAUCAGGAGGAACACCGGUGGCGAAGGCGGUUCUCUGGGCCUUUCCUGACGCUGAGGAGCGAAAGCGUGGGGAGCGAACAGGCUUAGAUACCCUGGUAGUCCACGCUGUAAACGGUGGGUACUA